rnacentral:misc_RNA from 1 species
GAUGAAGAACGUAGCGAAAUGCGAUAAGUAAUGUGAAUUGCAGAAUUCAGUGAAUCAUCGAAUCUUUGAACGCACAUUGCGCCCGCCAGUAUUCUGGCGGGCAUGCCUGUUCGAGCGUCAUUUCAACCAUCAAGCCCCCGGCUUGUGUUGGGGACCUGCGGCUGCCGCAGGCCCUGAAAAGCAGUGGCGGGCUCGCUGUCACACCGAGCGUAGUAGCAUACAUCUCGCUCUGGGCGUGCUGCGGGUUCCGGCCGUUAAACCACCUUCAUAACCCAAGGUUGACCUCGGAUCAGGUAGGAAGAUCCGCUGAACUUAAGCAUAUCAAUAAGCGGAGGA